rnacentral:rRNA from 1 species
UACGGGGGGGGGCAAGCGUUGUUCGGAAUUACUGGGCGUAAAGCAUGCGCAGGCGGUUCUAUAAGACAGAUGUGAAAUCCCCGGGCUCAACCUGGGAACUGCAUUUGUGACUGUAGAGCUGGAGUGCGGCAGAGGGGGAUGGAAUUCCGCGUGUAGCAGUGAAAUGCGUAGAUAUGCGGAGGAACACCGAUGGCGAAGGCAAUCCCCCUGGGCCUGCACUGACGCUCAUGCACGAAAGCGUGGGGAGCAAACAGG